UACAGAGGGUGCAAGCGUUAAUCGGAAUUACUGGGCGUAAAGCGCGCGUAGGUGGUUCGUUAAGUUGGAUGUGAAAUCCCCGGGCUCAACCUGGGAACUGCAUUCAAAACUGUCGAGCUAGAGUAUGGUAGAGGGUGGUGGAAUUUCCUGUGUAGCGGUGAAAUGCGUAGAUAUAGGAAGGAACACCAGUGGCGAAGGCGACCACCUGGACUAAUACUGACACUGAGGUGCGAAAGCGUGGGGAGCAAACAGG
rnacentral:rRNA from 1 species